GCGGGAGUGGCUCAGUUGGUAGAGCGUAACCUUGCCAAGGUUAAAGUCGCGGGUUCGAACCCCGUCUCCCGCU
rnacentral:tRNA from 1 species